rnacentral:lncRNA from 1 species
AACCGUACAAAGAUAAAGCCGAAUACAACGGAUGCAUAUCUCUACCCUCUUUAUAAACGACACAUUAGUUAUCGACACAUUAGUUAUCUCUCUCUCUCCUCUUCUAUCUCCUCCUCACGCCUACGUGUGAAGAACGAAAGACAAAAAAAAGAAGUCUACAUUCCGUUACAUACAAAAUUCUUGGCUCGAAGUCUUGAGCAAAAAUAGAAAAUGAGGUCUACGUACUCGCUACUCACGCAUCAAGAAUAUUUUUAUUUUUCGAGUCUGAACACAAAGGUAAACCACACUUAUUUUUUUUCUCAAUGGCAAGACACUAUGUUUAAAGGAGUUUUAUAUAAAAAAUUAUUUGAAGAAACUUAAGUUCGUUUGAUAACCAUUUUAAUUUUAGUUUUUAGUGCUAAUUUUUGGGUUAGAGUGUAUAGUGAAAAGAUGAAGAAUUGAAGUGAGAAUAAGAGUAAAGAUGAAAUUGAGAGGGGAUAAGUAAUAAAAGUGAAAACUAAAAUUAAAAACUGAAAUCUAUUUGAAAUUGUUUUCACUUUCAAGUUUUUGUUUUUACUUUUGUUACUUCUCCCUCCCAUCUUCACUCUCAUUUUCCUCUAUAGUCUAGCACAAAAAAAUAAAAAAUAAAAAAUCAAAUGGACCCUUAGGCACUAAUAAGACAACCAUUAUUGGGCCUCAAAGCUUAAAGCUCGAGUUUAUUACUACUUUAGGGCAAAAUACAAGACUCGAACUUGGUGACCAUAAAAAAAGGUCCACUUUUUAAUGUCUAAUGCUCGGAAAAUAUUUAUGCAAGUGAGAAAAAGGAUAAAUAGUGGUUCCGAUGAGGAAGAAGUGUACUAGGUGCGUGUGAUAAUAACAGUCUUGGAAGUUACCGUGCAUCACAGCAACGCAUUGGGUCAGUUGGCACAAAAUUCUUAAGGCCUAAAGAAAACUUAGACUUACGUAGCUUGUCAAGUUCGCAUGGGUUUUAAUUGGGCUUUGUAUCAACCCAAAAUGGGAUGUUUAAUUUUUUUUUUUUAUUUGCUUCUCUUUAAGGCCUGACCUGAGAGAGGCAUUCUGAUUCUGAGAAGAGAGAAGAAAAAGGCGACCCAGAAAUUGUGGAAGCAAGUGGAACGGUGUUUGUGACUUCCAAGAAGAAUCAUGUGUUCAAUGCAACUUCUUGCAUUUGGGGAGGGGAGGGAGUUGAAUGGUUGGUUAGUGAAAAACGUGUGUGUAUGAGAGGUUUGGUUAGCAAGAUUGAGUGCAAGUUUUAUGAACAUGAAAAAAAUAUCCUUUUUGUCAGCCUAUAUCUAUUCAUAACUGUGCAUAGAGAAAGUGGGUGCUUAUGUAUUUGGUUGGCAAGAAAUGGGACUUUGGUUCAUUGUUUAUAGAGAACGUGGUAUUUGGUUAGCAAAAGAAUGAGGGAGUUGUUAGAAAGAAAGGCAUAGUUGCAUAGUUGUUUAAAGAGAAAAAGAAUGGCAUGAACCACUUAUUGUUUCUUAGCCUGCAUUUAGUUUCUAUUUUGUUAAAAGUAUGUCUGAGUUUUUAUUUAAUCAUCAAUCAAUACAUGAGCAA